UACGAAGGGGGCUAGCGUUGCUCGGAAUCACUGGGCGUAAAGCGCACGUAGGCGGCUUACUAAGUCAGGGGUGAAAUCCUGGAGCUCAACUCCAGAACUGCCUUUGAUACUGGUGAGCUUGAGUCCGGAAGAGGUGAGUGGAACUGCGAGUGUAGAGGUGAAAUGCGCAGAUAUCAGGAAGAACACCCGUGGCGAAGGCGGCUCUCUGGGACGUGACUGACGCUGAGACGCGAAAGCGUGGGGAGCAAACAGG
rnacentral:rRNA from 1 species